ACUUAUAUAAUAUAAAAAGUAUAUUUGACUUCCAAUUAAAAAGCCUAAAUAAAUUUAGUGUAAGUA
rnacentral:tRNA from 1 species